CAGGUCUGACGAUGUAGCUCAGACUGGCCUCCAACUUGCUGUGUAACCCAGGAUUGCCUUUAUCUCAUGCCCCUCCUGUCUUAGCCUCCUGAGUGCUGAAAUUACAGCACUGGAAUUUAAACUCAGGAUUCAGGGCCUCAUGCUUGGUAGGCAGGCAUUUUUACUGUUUGAGCCACUCCACCAGCCCCAUCCUUCAUCUUCAGAGACAGUAAUAUGAGUACCGCAGAGGAAACUUUAAUCAAAUUCUCAAAAGGUCUUGGAACCUACAAAAAGUUAAAUGUUAGCUGGGCAUGGUGGUAUAUGCUUGUAAUUCCAGUAUUCAGGAAGCAGAGGCAGGAGGAUCACAGUUCAAGACCAGCCUGGGUUACAUAGUGAA